UGAAUACGAGACGCUACGGCGUCGAAGUAGUGUAUGUCAUACUUCCAAGAAAAGCUCGCACUGUCAUAGGUAAAAAAUGCCUGUACCAUAACCGACACAGGUGGGUAGGUAGAGUAUACUAAGGGGCGCGAGAUAACUCUCUCUAAGGAACUCGGCAAAAUGACUCCGUAACUUCGGGAGAAGGAGUGCCUUAUUUGUAAGGUUGCAAUAACAAGAUCCAAGCAACUGUUUACCAAAAACACAGGUCUCCGCUAAGUCGUAAGACGAUGUAUGGGGGCUGACGCCUGCCCAGUGCCAGAAGGUUAAAGAAGUUGGUUAGCAUUAGCGAAGCUGAUAACUGAAGCCCUGGUGAACGGCGGCCGUAACUAUAACGGUCCUAAGGUAGCGAAAUUCCUUGUCGGGUAAGUUCCGACCCGCACGAAAGGCGUAAUGAUUUGGAUACUGUCUCGGAGAGAGGCUCGGUGAAAUAGACUUGUCUGUGAAGAUGCGGACUACCUGCACCUGGACAGAAAGACCCUAUGAAGCUUUACUGUAACUUGAAAUUGAAAUUGGACUUUAGUCGCGCAGCAUAGGUGGGAGGCGUUGAGCAUGUUCUUGCGGGAACAUAGGAGCCAUCAGUGAGAUACCACUCUUCUAAUGUUAGAUUUCUAACCUUGUACCAUUAUCUGGUCAAGGAACAGUUUCAGGCGGGCAGUUUGACUGGGGCGGUCGCCUCCCAAAUGGUAACGGAGGCGUACAAAGGUUUCCUCUGAACGGAUAGAAAUCGUAUCUAGAGUAUAAAGGCAUAAGGAAGCUUGACUGUGAGACCUACAAGUCGAGCAGGGACGAAAGUCGGUCUUAGUGAUCUGACGGUACUGAGUGGAAAGGCCGUCACUCAACGGAUAAAAGUUACUCUAAGGAUAACAGGCUGAUCUCCCCCAAGAGUUCACAUCGACGGGGAGGUUUGGCACCUCGAUGUCGGCUCAUCGCAUCCUGGGGCGGUAGUACGUCCCAAGGGUUGGGCUGUUCGCCCAUGAAAGCGGUACGCGAGCUGGGUUCAGAACGUCGUGAGACAGUUCGGUCCAUAUCCGGUGUAGGCGUUAGAAUAUUGAGAGGAGCCUUCUUUAGUACGAGAGGACCGAGAAGGACAUACCUCUGGUGUACCAGUUAUCGUGCCAACGGUAAACGCUGGGUAGCUAUGUAUGGAGUGGAUAACCGCUGAAAGCAUCUAAGUGGGAAGCCCACCUCAAGAUGAG
rnacentral:rRNA from 1 species